CUCGUAGGCGGUUCGGUAAGUCGGGUGUGAAAACUCUGGGCUCAACCCAGAGACGCCACCCGAUACUGCUGUGACUAGAGUGCGGUAGGGGAGCGGGGAAUUCCUAGUGUAGCGGUGAAAUGCGCAGAUAUCAGGAGGAACACCAGCGGCGAAGGCGCCGCUCUGGGCCGUAACUGACGCUGAGGAGCGAAAGCAUGGGUAGCAAACA
rnacentral:rRNA from 1 species